GUUAUAUGGUCAAGUGAAGAAGCGCAUACGGUGGAUGCCUUGGCAGUCAGAGGCGAUGAAAGACGUGGUAGCCUGCGAUAAGCUUUGGGGAGUCGGCAAACAGACUGUGAUCCAGAGAUCUCUGAAUGGGGGAACCCAGCCAGCACAAGCUGGUUAUCUUGUACUGAAUACAUAGGUGCAAGAGGCGAACCAGGGGAACUGAAACAUCUAAGUACCCUGAGGAAAAGAAAUCAACCGAGAUUCCCUUAGUAGUGGCGAGCGAACGGGGACCAGCCCUUAAGUUGAUUUGAGAUUAGUGGAACGCUCUGGAAAGUGCGGCCAUAGUGGGUGAUAGCCCCGUACACGAAAAUCUCUUGUCAAUGAAAUCGAGUAGGACGGAGCACGAGAAACUUUGUCUGAAUAUGGGGGGACCAUCCUCCAAGGCUAAAUACUACUGACUGACCGAUAGUGAACCAGUACCGUGAGGGAAAGGCGAAAAGAACCCCGGAGAGGGGAGUGAAAUAGAACCUGAAACCGUAUGCGUACAAGCAGUGGGAGCCUACUUUGUUAGGUGACUGCGUACCUUUUGUAUAAUGGGUCAGCGACUUAUAUUCAGUGGCGAGCUUAACCGAAUAGGGGAGGCGUAGCGAAAGCGAGUCUUAAUAGGGCGUUUAGUCGCUGGGUAUAGACCCGAAACCGGGCGAUCUAUCCAUGGGCAGGUUGAAGGUUAGGUAACACUGACUGGAGGACCGAACCGACUACCGUUGAAAAGUUAGCGGAUGACCUGUGGAUCGGAGUGAAAGGCUAAUCAAGCUCGGAGAUAGCUGGUUCUCCUCGAAAGCUAUUUAGGUAGCGCCUCAUGUAUCACUGUAGGGGGUAGAGCACUGUUUCGGCUAGGGGGUCAUCCCGACUUACCAAACCGAUGCAAACUCCGAAUACCUACAAGUGCCGAGCAUGGGAGACACACGGCGGGUGCUAACGUCCGUCGUGAAAAGGGAAACAACCCAGACCGUCAGCUAAGGUCCCAAAGUCAUGGUUAAGUGGGAAACGAUGUGGGAAGGCUUAGACAGCUAGGAGGUUGGCUUAGAAGCAGCCACCCUUUAAAGAAAGCGUAAUAGCUCACUAGUCGAGUCGGCCUGCGCGGAAGAUGUAACGGGGCUCAAACCAUGCACCGAAGCUACGGGUAUCAUCUUAUGAUGAUGCGGUAGAGGAGCGUUCUGUAAGCCUGUGAAGGUGAGUUGAGAAGCUUGCUGGAGGUAUCAGAAGUGCGAAUGCUGACAUGAGUAACGACAAUGCGAGUGAAAAACUCGCACGCCGAAAGACCAAGGUUUCCUGCGCAACGUUAAUCGACGCAGGGUUAGUCGGUCCCUAAGGCGAGGCUGAAAAGCGUAGUCGAUGGAAAACAGGUUAAUAUUCCUGUACUUCCAGUUAUUGCGAUGGAGGGACGGAGAAGGUUAGGCCAGCCUGGCGUUGGUUGUCCAGGUUUAAGGUGGUAGGCUGAAAUCUUAGGCAAAUCCGGGAUUUCAAGGCCGAGAGCUGAUGACGAGUUGCCUCCAGGCGACGAAGUGGUUGAUACCAUGCUUCCAAGA
rnacentral:rRNA from 1 species